UGCCUGUUGCUCAGACUGAGAGCUGAGCUGAGGCAGAACAGACACACUCAUGCAGAGGGACAUGUGCCACAUUCCUCCUCAGAGCCUGCUCUGUGUGCUGGUGGCCUUGGCUUUGUCUGGAUGUAAUGUGGCCCAGAAAGUGACUCAGGUCCAGUCAACAGCAAGCAGGCAGGAGGGGGAAGACGUCACCCUGGAGUGUUCAUAUAAGACAAGUUAUGGCGCAUAUUAUCUUUUUUGGUACAAGCAGCUUCUUAGUGGAGAGAUGGUUUUCCUUUUUCGCCAAUUUUCUUUUGAUUCUCAGAACCAGAGGAGCGGCCGCUAUUCUGUAGUCUUCCAGAAAUCACUCAAGUCCAUCAGCCUUGUCAUUUCAGCCUCUCGACCAGAGGAUUCGGGGAAGUAUUUCUGUGCUGUCAGUGAUUUGACACAGUGUUUUAAGUGA
rnacentral:lncRNA from 1 species